UACGUCCACACCUUUUAGGUGUGGGCCAGUUGGCUGUCAUACUUCCAAGAAAAGCUCGAACUACUGUAAAGCAUCAAAUACCUGUACCGUAAACCGACACAGGUGGGUUGGUAGAGUAUACCAAGGUUCGCGAGAUAACUCUCUCUAAGGAACUCGGCAAAAUGACCCCGUAACUUCGGGAGAAGGGGUGCCAAGUAACUAAAAUUGCUUGGUCGCAGUGACCAGGCCCUGGCGACUGUUUAUCAAAAACACAGGUCUCCGCAAAGUCGUAAGACAACAUAUGGGGGCUGACGCCUGCCCAGUGCCGGAAGGUUAAAGAAAUUGGUUAUUCAUUCGUGGAGAAGCUGACGACUGAAGCCCCGGUGAACGGCGGCCGUAACAAUAACGGUCCUAAGGUAGCGAAAUUCCUUGUCGGGUAAGUUCCGACCCGCACGAAAGGCGUAACGAUCAGGGCACUGUCUCGGAGAGAGACUCGGUGAAAUAGACAUGUCUGUGAAGAUGCGGACUACCUGCACCUGGACAGAAAGACCCUAUGAAGCUUGACUGUAGCCUGGAAUUGGGUUCGGGCUCUUCUUGCGCAGCCUAGGUGGGAGGCGUUGAAAGCUUUCUUUUGGGAAAGCUGGAGCCAUCAGUGAGAGACCACUCUGGAGGAGCUAGAAUUCUAAUGGCGUUCCUUGAAGCAGGACGCUUGACAGUUUCAGGUGGGCAGUUUGACUGGGGCGGUCACCUCCUAAAAGGUAACGGAGGUGUGCAAAGGUUCCCUCAGGCUGGACGGACAUCAGCCGUAGAGUGUAAAGGCAGAAGGGAGCUUGACUGCAAGACCUACAAGUCGAGCAGGGGCGAAAGCCGGCCUUAGUGAUCCGACGGUUCCAUGUGGAAGGGCCGUCGCUCAACGGAUAAAAGUUACUCUAGGAUAACAGGCUGAUCUUCCCCAAGAGUUCACAUCGACGGGAAGGUUUGGCACCUCGAUGUCGGCUCAUCGCAACCUGGGGCGGUAGUACGUCCCAAGGGUUGGGCUGUUCGCCCAUGAAAGCGGUACGUGAGCUGGGUUCAGAACGUCGUGAGACAGUUCGGUCCAUAUCCGGUGUAGGCGUUAGAGCAUUGAGAGGAGCCUUCCAUAGUACGAGAGGACCUGGAAGGACGCACCUCUGGUAUACCAGUUAUCAUGCCAAUGGUACACGCUGGGUAGCCAUGUGCGGAGUGGAUAACCGCUGAAAGCAUCUAAGUGGGAAGCCCACCUCAAGAUGAGUGCUCUCCAUCAGGUCACAGGAAGACAACCUGUUUGAUAGGCAGAAGGUGUAAGGCUAGUAAUAGUUUCAGCUGAUCUGUACUAAUAGACCGAUUGAUUUU
rnacentral:rRNA from 1 species